rnacentral:rRNA from 1 species
CACGUAGGGUGCGAGCGUUGUCCGGAAUUAUUGGGCGUAAAGAGCUCGUAGGCGGUGUGUCGCGUCGGCCGUGAAAACCUGCAGCUUAACUGUGGGCUUGCGGUCGAUACGGGCAUCACUGGAGUUCGGCAGGGGAGACUGGAAUUCCUGGUGUAGCGGUGAAAUGCGCAGAUAUCAGGAAGAACACCGGUGGCGAAGGCGGCUCGCUGGGCCAGUUCUGACACUCAUCCGCGAAAGCGUGGGGAGCAAACAGG